rnacentral:rRNA from 1 species
AUUGAACGCUGGCGGCAGGCCUAACACAUGCAAGUCGAGCGGCAGCACGGGUACUUGUACCUGGUGGCGAGCGGCGGACGGGUGAGUAAUGCCUAGGAAUCUGCCUGGUAGUGGGGAUAACGCUCGGAAACGGACGCUAAUACCGCAUACGUCCUACGGGAGAAAGCAGGGGGACCUUCGGGCCUUGCGCUAUCAGAUGAGCCUAGGUCGGAUUAGCUAGUUGGUGAGGUAAUGGCUCACCAAGGCGACGAUCCGUAACUGGUCUGAGAGGAUGAUCAGUCACACUGGAACUGAGACACGGUCCAGACUCCUACGGGAGGCAGCAGUGGGGAAUAUUGGACAAUGGGCGAAAGCCUGAUCCAGCCAUGCCGCGUGUGUGAAGAAGGUCUUCGGAUUGUAAAGCACUUUAAGUUGGGAGGAAGGGCAGUUACCUAAUACGUAUCUGUUUUGACGUUACCGACAGAAUAAG